UACGUAGGGUGCAAGCGUUAUCCGGAAUUAUUGGCGUAAAGAGCUCGUAGGCGGUUUGUCGCGUCUGCUGUGAAAAACCCGAGGCUCAACCUCGGGCCUGCAGUGGGUACGGGCAGACUAGAGUGCGGUAGGGGAGAUUGGAAAUUCCUGGUGUAGCGGUGGAAUGCGCAGAUAUCAGGAGGAACACCGAUGGCGAAAGGCAGCUCGCUGGGACGGUACUGACGCUGAGGCGCGAAAGCGUGGGGAGCAAAC
rnacentral:rRNA from 1 species